rnacentral:lncRNA from 1 species
GGGGAAUCGAGAGAUGACCGGGGUGCCUUUUUCGGCGGCCGGAGCUGCUCGUCGGCGGCUGGGGCGUGCGCACUGAUUGGGCAGGGAGGAGACGGGGCGGCUAGGGUUAGUCAGGUGAUUAUGGCAGCCAAAAGAAUAAUGGGAAACCCUAGAUGCCCGAUUUAUGCCAAGUGUCACUUUGCGAGGAACCCCUCCAAAGUCUAUUAUUUACAAUCCAGCCCCCUGCCAGCAAGUGAAUUAUGCACACAAGACCCUCCACAUUCGAUAUCACGUGAAAUGACACAUAAAAUAUAGGGUCUUUCCGCGAUUUAUCCGUUUAGCCGCUUUGACCCCUCAGCGAACAUUUGCAAUAUCCGGCAAUCCGUUCAUCGGAUUUCCGAACGGAUCGCACCAUCGCGUUCAGCACAACGAGGGCAUCCAAACUACCAUCUUGUUUCGUCAGAUUUGGUCACGGAUUCGCGACGGAACCCAUCCGCUCUCUAAUUAAUCCGUAUAUCGCACAUAUACCCAAGCAUAAACUCUAAAACCUUUAAUUCAAAUUCAAAUUUGAAUUCCCUACCACCAGUAGGUAUCAGAAACAACUCUCACCUAACCCCAGGUCACAAGCACAGAGCACGCGGAGCUUUAAAACGCACGAAUAGCAAAGAGCGGGAACCCUCUUUUUGAUAAAAUCCCUUUUUCUCGAUAACCGUGCAUCAGAAUCCGAUUCUGUCAGCGCCAAUGGUUCCAGUAUAGUCGAGAGGUUCGAAACGAGCUAUUGGACCACUAUGUUCGGAGGUCUGUACGCGCCAGAGGCCAAGUUUGCUUCGUGGCUUCUCCGGAAAACCGGAGUUACUAUUCACUUAAGUCGAACUUCCGGGUCUCAUAACUUCUCCACUUUAGCUCGGUUUUGCCUGAAAUUUGACGUGUGCUUAUGUAAUUAAAUUACACACAUAAACAUCGUCAACAGAGAGUCUAAUUGCACUGUCAAAAUCUCAGUCCUUACAUUAUCCCCCCCUUAAAAGAAGUUUCGUCCCCGAAACUUAACUACAUACCCACCGAACUCCGACUAUCCAACAACGUCAACCUGCUCACCAAGAGUGAAUACGAAACGUUGUUCUAAAAUCCAAGUCAACGUCACUCACAUCGGAGACCACGAGUAACCACACAAACUACCAAACCUUCAACAAAGGAUAGUCACUUACGACACUCUAUAGUCCUAGGUCCAAGAUCUCACUUUUCAUCUGACCAAAAGAUCCAACUGACAAUACCAAAUAAGCUAGACAAUUUUGUCUCCUCAAACUUAAUCCGGUACCAACAGAUCACCAAAUGUUCUUGCAAGUCCAUCACUUGAUGCACAAGUCGCCAAUCGCACCAUGCGAUACCAACCAUCGGUGAUACCCAACACCUGUCUCCACAAGACCCUGUCGCUGUCGUCCUACCAUGGACCCUAGCGAUCG